rnacentral:rRNA from 1 species
AGGAUAAACGCUGGCGGCGUGCCUAACACAUGCAAGUCGAACGCGCUUUUUUCGCAAGAGGAGAGCGAGUGGCGGACGGGUGAGUAACACAUGGGUACCUACCUUGGAGUGAGGGAUACCGGCGAGAAAUCGCCGACAAUACCGCAUACGCUUCUCUUCACCGGGAAGCAAAGUUGCGCAAGCGACGCUCUGAGAUGGGCCUGUGGCCGAUUAGCUAGUUGGUGGGGUAACGGCCUACCAAGGCGACGAUCGGUAGCUGGUCUGAGAGGACGAUCAGCCACACUGGGAUUGAGAACGGCCCAGACUCCUACGGGGGGCAGCAGUGAGGAAUUUUCCGCAUGGACGCAAGUCUGACGGAGCAACGCCGCGUGCAGGAUGAAGGUUUUCGGAUCGUAAACUGCUUUUCGUCGGGGACGAGCAAGGACGGUACCCGAGGAAGACGCCCCGGCUAACUACGUGCCAGCCAGCCGC